AAAUGAAUUGACGGGAGCUUACACAAGCGGUGGAGCAUGUGGUUUAAUUCGAUAAUACGCGCAGAACCUUACCAAUUCUUGUUAAUUUAAAUAAAAAUUAAGAAAAGAAUUUUAUUUAAUACAGGUGUUGCAUGGCUGUCGUCAGCUCGUGUUUUGAGAUGUUUGGUUAAAUCCUUUAACGAGCGUAACCCUUAUUAUUAGUUACUAAUUUAUUUUAUAAUCCAUAUUAAAAAUAAAAGCACAUUAAUAAGAUUUUCAAUAAUAGGUUGAAUGAAGUGGGGAUGACGUCAAGUCUUCAUGGCCCUUAUGAAUUGGGCUACACACGUGCUACAAUGGUAAUUACAGUAAGAGGCAAUAACGAUUAUAAAAGUUGGAGCAAAUCUUUAAAAAUUAUCUUAGUUCGAAUUAUGGGCUGAAACUCGCCCAUAUGAAGUUGGAAUCGCUAGUAAUCGCAGAACAGCAUGCUGCGGUGAAUAUGUUACUAGGCUUUGUACACACCGCCCGU
rnacentral:rRNA from 1 species